AAACGGCGUCGUUCAAGUGCCCCACUCCCCUCUAAUCAAACCUAAUCUAGUAAUCUGAAUGGAAACCCCCCAAACUCUAGCCUCAUCUCUCUUAUCUCUCGCACUCCAGAGGGCCUCACCUUCGCCGCGUCACUCUCUCGUCUCUCCCCUCACCUCGUCAGUUGUCACUCUCAGUCUCUCACAGCGUCACCUCGUCACUCUCUCGGUCUCGCACUCAUAAGCUCGUCGUCGCGGUCUCGUGCUCUGCGUUCGUCGGCGGCAGAAGCAAACGGGACCAGUCAAGCAGCAUCUUCUGCAUCGGCGGGUGGUAGUGGUCGCAGUCUCGUAACCAGUCAACUGGGAACAUGGCACAUCGGGUGGAGACAACGCAGAGCCUCCCGACGGUGACUUCUGAGUACGAUCCCUCAAACCAGGCGUGGAUAGUUACAACCACUACUACUGUGGUCCAGACUAUCUACUUAGAUCGAAGUUCUGUAGAAGAAAUCCCCCAAAUGCCGGUCAUAACUUUCCUAGAUAUGAACACUCCAGCACCGUCACCCGAGGUGGUCAACCUUAAUUCAGAUGAAAGUGAAGUACGUGCCAUAUUUUCCCAUCUCGGCACCACAUCAGAUUCUAGUUCAUCGCAUGAAUAGGAUCUUCACCCGUGCAAAAGUGUUAGAAGAGGAUUGCUGGUACCCCAAUUCAUGGAAAACUGAAGGGUUCAGAUGAUGGAUAGAAUAUGAUACAAGGAUGAGAGCUUCUUCGACGAAUUUAGUUAGGACGUGUUGGGUUUUCUUCCUAGUUAUUUCUCGUUAAGCAUUUCUUUUCUGCUAGUAACAUUACUCAUGGGAACUUUGUUGUUUUAUUUAUUUUUUUUAUUUGCUAGAACCUGCUUAUGUGUGUUCAUUUGUAAGUGUUCUUGCAUAUUCAUUCC